GGUUCGACUACAAACAAGAAACUGAAGAUCUCAGUUGGGUUGUGAGUGGCUCUGCAGAGAUGGACCAGGCUGCCUAUCUACCUCCAUCAGGCAAGAGGAGCCAUUAAUCUGGUUUAAAACCUUCAGGUUCUGUCAUGGGCAGAGGGGUGUGAAGUCCACCAUUGGGGAUUUCUAUCCACCUGGGGAUACCAGCCCACGUGAGGUGGCCCUGCCCAGGGGCAGUAUGUAUUUCCUGUCGCCUCAUGCCACCGGCCCAGAGCCACACUACUUUGCGCUUUUGGAAAUCCAAGACCCUGUCUGCCUCUUGCUGUGGGUCAUCAGGCUCAUAAAGAGAGUGUGAGAGAUCACAUGGUGUUCUUCAUGGAUAGUAAUAAAGGCAUGGUGGGGUAAGAAGAACCAAGGGAUGGGUACACCUGCCUGUUCUCUCUUUUUUUGCUAUAGGAAGAAGACCACUACUCACCGCCGACGCACCACCUUCAUUCUAUGGAUGCGAUUGUUUUUUUUAUUUUCUAUUGUCUGUUUGUGUUCAGUGUUCACUAUUAAUAAGAAAAGUUUGCUCAAGUUAAUAUUUUAAUGGCACACCUAAUAAAACAUAGUCGAGCAUUGAA